rnacentral:rRNA from 1 species
AAAUUGAAGAGUUUGAUCAUGGCUCAGAUUGAACGCUGGCGGCAGGCCUAACACAUGCAAGUCGAACGGUAACAGGAAGCAGCUUGCUGCUUUGCUGACGAGUGGCGGACGGGUGAGUAAUGUCUGGGAAACUGCCUGAUGGAGGGGGAUAACUACUGGAAACGGUGGCUAAUACCGCAUAACGUCGCAAGACCAAAGAGGGGGACCUUCGGGCCUCUUGCCAUCAGAUGUGCCCAGAUGGGAUUAGCUAGUUGGUGAGGUAACGGCUCACCAAGGCGACGAUCCCUAGCUGGUCUGAGAGGAUGACCAGCCACACUGGAACUGAGACACGGUCCAGACUCCUACGGGAGGCAGCAGUGGGGAAUAUUGCACAAUGGGCGCAAGCCUGAUGCAGCCAUGCCGCGUGUAUGAAGAAGGCCUUCGGGUUGUAAAGUACUUUCAGCGGGGAGGAAGGUGUUGU